GGAGCAACUAUGGAUUUCUGACUUAAACUUGGCUAGUAAUAAGGUCAAUAUAAUAUUGAAAUGCAUGGGAAUAAUUCCCCUUCUGCACGGACAGCUAACUUCAUAAGUCUGAAGGAUUAAUAAAACAACUGGGUGCCUUGUGGGUAACGGUGAGGACUGGAGGGAAGUUCCUCCCGUGUGGCAGGCGGGCCGUGACAGCUCCGAGAUGCUCCUUGACCUGAGAGGAAGGGAAAACAACAUCAAUGGCCACCAGGGACGCUGGAGGUGUCGGUGGAUGAAGGCACGCUGCCAAUAACACCAGACUUGUGUGUAUACACUGUAG